rnacentral:ncRNA from 1 species
UUUAAUUCGAUACAAAGCUAAGAACUUUACUAGGGCUUGACAUGCCGCGAAUCCUCUUUAAAGAUUGGGGUGUACUCGGGAACGUAGACGCAAGUGGUGCAUAGCUGUCAUCGGCUCAUGCCGUAAGGUAUUGGGUUAAGUCUCGCAAUGAGCGCAACCCUCGUGUUUAGUUGCCACUAUAAGUUUAGAAUCCUGAACAGACCACCGGUAACACAUUUUGAUAGUUUUAUUUUUUAUGUUUUUUUAAACUUAAUCAA